rnacentral:rRNA from 1 species
GACGAACGCUGGCGGCGUGCUUAACACAUGCAAGUCGAACGGAGUGCCCUUGAAAGAGGUUUCGGCCGAUGGAAGGGGUUACUUAGUGGCGGACUGGUGAGUAACGCGUGAGGAACCUGCCUUUCAGAGGGGGACAACAGCUGGAAACGGCUGCUAAUACCGCAUGACACAUUCGGGCGGCAUCGCCUGGAUGUCAAAGAUUUAUCGCUGAAAGAUGGCCUCGCGUCUGAUUAGAUAGUAGGCGGGGUAACGGCCCACCUAGUCGACGAUCAGUAGCCGGACUGAGAGGUUGACCGGCCACAUUGGGACUGAGAUACGGCCCAGACUCC